rnacentral:rRNA from 1 species
CUGAUCCAGCAAUGCCGCGUGAGUGAAGAAGGCCUUCGGGUUGUAAAGCUCUUUUGUCAGGGAAGAAACAGCAGCUCUAACACAGUCUGCGAAUGACGGUACCUGAAGAAUAAGCACCGGCUAACUACGUGCCAGCAGCCGCGGUAAUACGUAGGGUGCAAGCGUUAAUCGGAAUUACUGGGCGUAAAGCGUGCGCAGGCGGUUAUGUAAGACAGGCGUGAAAUCCCCGGGCUUAACCUGGGAAUUGCGCUUGUGACUGCAUAGCUAGAGUAUGUCAGAGGGGGGUAGAAUUCCACGUGUAGCAGUGAAAUGCGUAGAGAUGUGGAGGAAUACCAAUGGCGAAGGCAGCCCCCUGGGAUAAUACUGACGCUCAUGCACGAAAGCGUGGGGAGCAAACAGGAUUAGAUACCCUGGUAGUCCACGCCCUAAACGAUGCUGACUAGUUGUUCGGGAAUUUAUUCCUGAGUAACGUAGCUAACGCGUGAAGUCAGCCGCCUGGGGAGUACGGUCGCAAGAUUAAAACUCAAAGGAAUUGACGGGGACCCGCACAAGCGGUGGAUGAUGUGGAUUAAUUCGAUGCAACGCGAAAAACCUUACCUACCCUUGACAUGCCACUAACGAAGUAGAGAUACAUUAGGUGCUCGUAAGGGAAAGUGGACACAGGUGCUGCAUGGCUGUCGUCAGCUCGUGUCGUGAGAUGUUGGGUUAAGUCCCGCAACGAGCGCAACCCUUGUCUUUAGUUGCUACGCAAGAGCACUCUAAAGAGACUGCCGGUGACAAACCGGAGGAAGGUGGGGAUGACGUCAAGUCCUCAUGGCCCUUAUGGGUAGGGCUUCACACGUCAUACAAUGGUGCAUACAGAGGGUUGCCAACCCGCGAGGGGGAGCUAAUCUCAGAAAAUGCAUCGUAGUCCGGGUCGUAGUCUGCAACUCGACUACGUGAAGCUGGAAUCGCUAGUAAUCGCGGAUCAGAAUGUCGCGGUGAAUACGUUCCCGGGUCUUGUACACACCGCCCGUCACACCAUGGGAGUGGGUUUUGCCAGAAGCCGUUAGCCUAACCGCAAGGAGGGCGACGACCACGGCAGGGUUCAUGACUGGGGUGAAGUCGUAACAAGGU